GAUGAAGAACGUAGCGAAAUGCGAUAAGUAAUGUGAAUUGCAGAAUUCAGUGAAUCAUCGAAUCUUUGAACGCACAUUGCGCCCGCCAGUAUUCUGGCGGGCAUGCCUGUUCGAGCGUCAUUUCAACCAUCAAGCCCCCGGCUUGUGUUGGGGACCUGCGGCUGCCGCAGGCCCUGAAAACCAGUGGCGGGCUCGCUGUCACACCGAGCGUAGUAGAUUUUCAUCUCGCUCAGGGCGUGCUGCGGGUUCCGGCCGUAAAAAGCCUUAUUUACCCAAGGUUGACCUCGGAUCAGGUAGGAAGUCCCGCUGAACUUAAGCAUAUCAAUAAGCGGAGGA
rnacentral:misc_RNA from 1 species